UACGGGUGGCAGCAGUGGGGAAUAUUGGACAAUGGGCGAAAGCCUGAUCCAGCCAUGCCGCGUGUGUGAAGAAGGCCUUCGGGUUGUAAAGCACUUUCAGUGGGGAAGAAAGCCUUGGGGCUAAUACCCUCGAGGAAGGACAUCACCCACAGAAGAAGCACCGGCUAACUCCGUGCCAGCAGCCGCGGUAAUACGGAGGGUGCGAGCGUUAAUCGGAAUUACUGGGCGUAAAGCGCGCGUAGGCGGUCUGAUAAGCCGGUUGUGAAAGCCCCGGGCUCAACCUGGGAACGGCAUCCGGAACUGUCAGGCUAGAGUGCAGGAGAGGAAGGUAGAAUUCCCGGUGUAGCGGUGAAAUGCGUAGAGAUCGGGAGGAAUACCAGUGGCGAAGGCGGCCUUCUGGACUGACACUGACGCUGAGGUGCGAAAGCGUGGGUAGCAAACAGGAUUAGAUACCCUAGUAGUC
rnacentral:rRNA from 1 species